AUUGAACGCUGGCGGCAGGCCUAACACAUGCAAGUCGAGCGGCUCGGCGGAAGGGUGAGUAAUGCCAAGGAAUCUGCCUGGUAGUGGGGGCUAAGGUCAGGAAACGGGCGCUAAUACCGCAUACUAUUAGAUGAGCCUAGGUCGGAUUAGCUAGUUGGGGGGGUAAAGGCCUACCAAGGCGACGAUCCGUAACUGGUCUGAGGGGAUGAUCAGUCACACUGGAACUGAGACACGGUCCAGACUCCUACGGGAGGCAGCAGUGGGGAAUAUUGGGCAAUUGGAUAAAGCCUGAACCAGCCAUGCCGCGUGUGUGAAGAAGGUCUUAGGAUUGUAAAGCACUAUAAGUUGGGAGGCGUUACCUACAGAAUAAGCACCGGCUAACUUCGUGCCAGCAGCCGCGGUAAUUC
rnacentral:rRNA from 1 species